rnacentral:rRNA from 1 species
ACGAACGCUGGCGGCACGCUUAACACAUGCAAGUCGAACGAGAGAAGAGAAGCUUGCUUUUCUGAUCUAGUGGCGGACGGGUGAGUAACACGUGAGCAAUCUGCCUUUCAGGGGGGGAUACCGAUUGGAAACGAUCGUUAAUACCGCAUAACAUAAUUGAACCGCAUGAUUUGAUUAUCAAAGAUUUAUCGCUGAAAGAUGAGCUCGCGUCUGAUUAGCUAGUUGGUAAGGUAACGGCUUACCAAGGCGACGAUCAGUAGCCGGACUGAGAGGUUGAUCGGCCACAUUGGGACUGAGACACGGCCCAGACUCCUACGGGAGGCAGCAGUGGGGAAUAUUGCACAAUGGAGGAAACUCUGAUGCAGCGAUGCCGCGUGAGGGAAGAAGGUUUUAGGAUUGUAAACCUCUGUCUUCAGGGACGAAAAAAGACGGUACCUGAGGAGGAAGCUCCGGCUAACUACGUGCCAGCAGCCGCGGUAAUACGUAGGGAGCGAGCGUUGUCCGGAAUUACUGGGUGUAAAGGGAGCGUAGGCGGGAUCGCAAGUCAGAUGUGAAAACUAUGGGCUUAACCCAUAAACUGCAUUUGAAACUGUGGUUCUUGAGUGAAGUAGAGGUAAGCGGAAUUCCUAGUGUAGCGGUGAAAUGCGUAGAUAUUAGGAGGAACACCAGUGGCGAAGGCGGCUUACUGGACUGACAAUGACGCUGAGGCUCGAAAGCGUGGGGAGCAAACAGGAUUAGAUACCCUGGUAGUCCACGCCGUAAACGAUGAUUACUAGGUGUGGGGGGACUGACCCCUUCCGUGCCGCAGCAAACGCAAUAAGUAAUCCACCUGGGGAGUACGACCGCAAGGUUGAAACUCAAAGGAAUUGACGGGGGCCCGCACAAGCAGUGGAGUAUGUGGAUUAAUUCGAAGCAACGCGAAGAACCUUACCAAGUCUUGACAUCCCCCUGACCGGCAAGUAAUGUUGCCUUUCCUUCGGGACAGGGGAGACAGGUGGUGCAUGGUUGUCGUCAGCUCGUGUCGUGAGAUGUUGGGUUAAGUCCCGCAACGAGCGCAACCCUUACUGUUAGUUGCUACGCAAGAGCACUCUAGCAGGACUGCCGUUGACAAAACGGAGGAAGGUGGGGAUGACGUCAAAUCAUCAUGCCCCUUAUGACCUGGGCCUCACACGUACUACAAUGGCUGUUAACAGAGGGAUGCAAAGCCGCGAGGUGGAGCGAACCCCUAAAAGCAGUCUUAGUUCGGAUUGUAGGCUGCAACCCGCCUACAUGAAGUCGGAAUUGCUAGUAAUCGCAGAUCAGCAUGCUGCGGUGAAUACGUUCCCGGGCCUUGUACACACCGCCCGUCACGCCAUGGGAGUCGGUAACACCCGAAGCCUGUAGUCUAACCGCAAGGAGGACGCAGUCGAAGGUGGGAUUGAUGACUGGGGUG